AUUGAACGCUGGCGGCAUGCUUUACACAUGCAAGUCGAACGGUAACAGGGAGCUUGCUCCGCUGACGAGUGGCGAACGGGUGAGUAAUGCGUCGGAACGUGCCGAGUAGUGGGGGAUAACGCAGCGAAGGUUGUGCUAAUACCGCAUACGUACUGAGGUAGAAAGUGGGGGACCUUCGGGCCUCACGCUAUUCGAGCGGCCGACGUCUGAUUAGCUAGUUGGUGAGGUAAAGGCUCACCAAGGCGACGAUCAGUAGCGGGUCUGAGAGGAUGAUCCGCGACACUGGGACUGAGACACGGCCCAGACUCCUACCGGAGGCAGCAGUGGGGAAUUUUGGACAAUGGGCGCAAGCCUGAUCCAGCCAUGCCGCGUGUCUGAAGAAGGCCUUCGGGUUGUAAAGGACUUUUGUCCGGGAGCAAAUGCUGGUGGCUAACAUCCACCGGAGCUGAGAGUACCGGAAGAAUAAGCACCGGCUAACUACGUGCCAGCCGCCGCGGUAACAC
rnacentral:rRNA from 1 species